AUUGAACGCUGGCGGCAGGCCUAACACAUGCAAGUCGAGCGGAUGACGGGAGCUUGCUCCUUGAUUCAGCGGCGGACGGGUGAGUAAUGCCUAGGAAUCUGCCUGGUAGUGGGGGACAACGUUUGGAAAGGAACGCUAAUACCGCAUACGUCCUACGGGAGAAAGCAGGGGACCUUCGGGCCUUGCGCUAUCAGAUGAGCCUAGGUCGGAUUAGCUAGUUGGUGGGGUAAUGGCUCACCAAGGCAACGAUCCGUAACUGGUCUGAGAGGAUGAUCAGUCACACUGGAACUGAGACACGGUCCAGACUCCUACGGGAGGCAGCAGUGGGGAAUAUUGGACAAUGGGCGAAAGCCUGAUCCAGCCAUGCCGCGUGUGUGAAGAAGGUCUUCGGAUUGUAAAGCACUUUAAGUUGGGAGGAAGGGCAGUAAGCUAAUACCUUGCUGUUUUGACGUUACCGACAGAAUAAGCACCGGCUAACUUCGUGCCAGCCGCCGCAGUAACAC
rnacentral:rRNA from 1 species